rnacentral:misc_RNA from 1 species
AAAAAAAAAAAAAAAAAGAAUUUAGAUGCACAGAGACUACGCUUAUUUAUGGUUGUACAACUCGGAAAUGAUAUCUCAAGUUCUUGAAUCAUUUGCUUUCAGGACUUGCUUUUCAAGUCCUCUUAUUUCUUGGGGCUCCAUUUGAACAUUAGUAACUAAAUAAAGAAGCCCUUUUAAUAGGAUUGUAAAUUUUUAGUUGGCUUCUAAGAAACAAUCCUUCAAUCUCAUACAAAUUAUAAAACUCACAUGUGAAGGAAAUAAUGCAUGGUUAUCAAACAGAUUUGCACGUAGCUCAAAUUAGUAGAAACUAGAAUAUUGAGGAUCAAAUCAAGCUUCUGUCAUUUUCUUCUUAUAUCUGGUUCAUCUAUAAUUUCUCUCUGCUUAUGUUUAUGAGCACAGUUGUUAUCAAUAUUGUUUCUUGCAUAUACCUUUGCCAUCAGACACCCCUGAAUUGCAAUCUCAUAUGUGAAUAUUUAAUCUGCCAUGAUUCUAAUUGAUUUUUCAGGUUGAAUAUGUAUAUUUGUGUUAUUGUUGCUGAGUUUUGUUGUUCAACAUUCUCAG